GCCCAAGUAGUCCAACAGCAGAGAUAACCGUCUCAGAAGCGGUCAAGUGCGGGUGCAAGUCCCGCCUUGGGCACCA
rnacentral:tRNA from 1 species